CCAGUCACGACGCAUAUCAAUAAGCGGAGGAAAAGAAACCAACAGGGAUUGCCUCAGUAACGGCGAGUGAAGCGGCAAGAGCUCAAAUUUGAAAGCUGGCUCCUUCGGGGUCCGCAUUGUAAUUUGCAGAGGAUGCUUCGGGAGCGGCCCCCAUCUAAGUGCCCUGGAACGGGCCGUCAUAGAGGGUGAGAAUCCCGUCUGGGAUGGGGUGCCCGCGCCCGUGUGAAGCUCCUUCGACGAGUCGAGUUGUUUGGGAAUGCAGCUCUAAAUGGGUGGUAAAUUUCAUCUAAAGCUAAAUACUGGCCGGAGACCGAUAGCGCACAAGUAGAGUGAUCGAAAGAUGAAAAGCACUUUGAAAAGAGAGUUAAACAGCACGUGAAAUUGUUGAAAGGGAAGCGCUUGCGACCAGACUCGCUCGCGGGGUUCAGCCGGCCUUCGGGCCGGUGUACUUCCCCGCGGGCGGGCCAGCGUCGGUUUGGGCGGCCGGUCAAAGGCCCUCGGAAUGUAACGCCCCCCGGGGCGUCUUAUAGCCGAGGGUGCCAUGCGGCCAGCCCGGACCGAGGAACGCGCUUCGGCUCGGACGCGGCAUAAGGUCGUAA
rnacentral:rRNA from 1 species